AAGCCAUCAUCACAAGAUCGAUCACACACAACUCAAACUCAGAUUGAGUCAUCGAGAGUGAGCAACUAGCUAGACAAACAAGCAAGCAAGCAACCUAGCUAGCUAGCUACUACUCGAAGGCAAAAUGGACGUGAUGGAGAAGUCUCGGCGAGCUCACUUCUUGUUCGACGACGACGACCAAACGCCGGCCAGGCAGAACGGCCGCCGGAACGUCGACCAGCACAACAGCGACGACGGCGACGUCGACAGCGUGCGCGUGUCGUGCUACGGCGGCGUCGCAAAGCCAAAGGCCAAGCCGUCGUCGACUGCGAAGGACGUCGUCGUCGCCGGCCGUCCUGCUGCAGGCUCCAACCGUACCUGAUCUUAUUCUUACUAUAGCUAACUAGCGAUCGAGCUCGAUCCAGAGUUUGAAAUUUCGGAAAUUUUGCCCCCCACCGAAAUGCUCACAUCUCGUCCGAAAUUUUCGGUUUUUUAUAAUUUUUUAUGAAUUUUGGUCAAAAUUUAUUCUAAUUUAUUCAAAAUCAGUCAAAAUUUCAAAAAAAAAAUUCGUAUGAAAAAAAUCCGAAAUUUUGGAAAUUUCAGUUCUUUCGUCCACCUGCGGCAGAAAUCUUACUUCCGAAAUUUCAAACCCUGGCUCGAUCUCAUCUCGCACCCUUGAUCAUGUCGAGCAACCUUGUGUUGAUGAUCGACAUGAUCACUCUAGCUAGCUAGUUAGUUCGUAUCAAUGUUGAAUAGCAUGCAUAUGCAAACAUGACCGUCUCCAAUUACUGGUACAGACGACUACUUACAGAGUGAGCUGUAUGUUACGAGAAUGUACUUUACGAAAUACUACUAUGAACAUAGUACUAAAAUUGAAAAUCUCU
rnacentral:lncRNA from 1 species